UGAAUACGAGAUGCUACGGCGUCGAAGCAGUCUAUGUCAUACUUCCAAGAAAAGCUUGCACUGUCAUAAACAAAUAAUGCCUGUACCAUAACCGACACAGGUGGGUAGGUAGAGUAUACUAAGGGGCGCGAGAUAACUCUCUCUAAGGAACUCGGCAAAAUGACUCCGUAACUUCGGGAGAAGGAGUGCCUUAUUUAUAAGGUUGCAAUAACAAGAUCCAAGCAACUGUUUACCAAAAACACAGGUCUCCGCUAAGUCGUAAGACGAUGUAUGGGGGCUGACGCCUGCCCAGUGCCAGAAGGUUAAAGAAGUUGGUUAGCAUCCGCGAAGCUGAUAACUGAAGCCCUGGUGAACGGCGGCCGUAACGAUAACGGUCCUAAGGUAGCGAAAUUCCUUGUCGGGUAAGUUCCGACCCGCACGAAAGGCGUAAUGAUUUGGAUACUGUCUCGGAGAGGGGCUCGGUGAAAUAGACUUGUCUGUGAAGAUGCGGACUACCUGCACCAGGACAGAAAGACCCUAUGAAGCUUUACUGUAACCUGAAAUUGAAAUUGGACUUUACUUGCGCAGUAUAGGUGGGAGGCGUUGAGAAUAUUCUUGCGGGAUUAUUGGAGCCAUCAGUGAGAUACCACUCUUGUAAUGUUAGAUUUCUAACUUUGUAUCAUUAUCUGGUCAAAGAACAGUUUCAGGCGGGCAGUUUGACUGGGGCGGUCGCCUCCUAAACGGUAACGGAGGCGCACAAAGGUUUCCUCUGAACGGGUAGAAAUCGUAUCUAGAGUGUAAAGGCAUAAGGAAGCUUGACUGUGAGACCUACAAGUCGAUCAGGACGAAAGUCGGUCUUAGUGAUCUGACGGUGCUGAGUGGAAAGGCCGUCACUCAACGGAUAAAAGUUACUCUAGGAUAACAGGCUGAUCUCCCCCAAGAGUUCACAUCGACGGGGAGGUUUGGCACCUCGAUGUCGGCUCAUCGCAUCCUGGGGCGGUAGUACGUCCCAAGGGUUGGGCUGUUCGCCCAUGAAAGCGGUACGCGAGCUGGGUUCAGAACGUCGUGAGACAGUUCGGUCCAUAUCCGGUGUAGGCGUUAGAAUAUUGAGAGGAGCCUUCUUUAGUACGAGAGGACCGAGAAGGACAUACCUCUGGUGUACCAGUUAUCGUGCCAACGGUAAACGCUGGGUAGCUAUGUGUGGAGUGGAUAACCGCUGAAAGCAUCUAAGUGGGAAGCCCACCUCAAGAUAAG
rnacentral:rRNA from 1 species